GACGAAACGCUGGCGGCGUGGAUUAGGCAUGCAAGUCGAACGGUAUCAUCCUUUCGGGGGUGAGAGAGUGGCGAACUGGUGAGUAACACGUAGGUUAUCUACCCUCAAGACGGGGACAACCCAGGGAAACUUGGGCUAAUACCGGAUGUGAGCAACUUUUAGUUGUUUGAAAGGUGGCGUAAGCUGUCGCUUGGGGAUGAGCCUGCGUCCUAUUAGUUAGUUGGUGAGGUAACGGCUCACCUAGGCAAUGAUAGGUAGGCGGCCUUAACGGGUGGUCGCCCACACUGGGAUUGAGAUACGGCCCAGACUCCUACGGGAGGCAGCAGUCGAGAAUAGUCUACAAUGGUCGGAAGACUGAUAGUGCGACGCCGCGUGAACGAUGAAUCCCUUCGGGGUGUAAAGUUCUUUUAUAUGUGAGCAGUGCUUCUUAUAUUAACGUAUGGGGAAGAGAUAUUAGCAUAUGAAUAAGCAACGGGCUAACUCCGUGCCCAGCAGCCCGCGGUUAA
rnacentral:rRNA from 1 species